rnacentral:rRNA from 1 species
UGCUAGUCGCACGGGUUAGACCCGUGGCGGAAAGCUCAGUAACACGUGGCCAAACUACCCUGUGGACGGGGAUAAUCUCGGGAAACUGGGGCUAAUCCUCGAUAGGGCUUCCAUCCUGGAGUGGAGGAAGCUCGAAAGUUGCGCUGCGGCACCACAGGAUGUGGCUGCGGCCGAUUAGGUAGACGGUGGGGUAACGGCCCACCGUGCCAGUAAUCGGUACGGGUGAUGAGAGUCAGAGCCCGGAGACGGUAUCUGAGACAAGAUACCGGGCCCUACGGGGCGCAGCAGGCGCGAAACCUUUACACUGCACGACAGUGCGAUAGGGGGAUUCCGAGUGCGAGGGCAUACAGUCCUCGCUUUUCUAGACCGUAAGGAGGUCCAGGAACAAGGGCUGGGCAAGACCGGUGCCAGCCGCCGCGGUAAUACCGGCAGCCCAAGUGAUGGCCGAUAUUAUUGGGCCUAAAGCGUCCGUAGCCGGCCGGACAAGUCCGUUGGGAAAUCCACGCGCUUAACGCGUGGGCGUCCAGCGGAAACUGUCCGGCUUGGGGCCGGAGGACUCGAGGGGUACGUCCGGGGUAGGAGUGAAAUCCCGUAAUCCUGGACGGGCCACCGGUGGCGAAAGCGCCUCGAGAGGACGGACCCGACGGUGAGGGACGAAAGCCAGGGUCUCGAACCGGAUUAGAUACCCGGGUAGUCCUGGCCGUAAACGAUGUCCGCUAGG